ACAUUAUGACUUACAAUAAUUAUGUCAAACAAAGGGAUCCGGUUUUUUUCUUUCUUCCUUCUAGUCACUUCGCGAUUUUUAUUAUGCGAAAUCUGUUGGUGGCAGUCUGCGUUCCGUUAUCAAACCUGGUCACGCAAGUCAGACUGGAUUUCCAACCUACCAAGGGAAUACAAUCCUUAUCUCAAGGAAAUAAAGUCUAUAAAUGCUUAUUUAAAUGACUGGUGACGUUAAUGCCUCUAUAAUAAAUGUGUCAUUUCAUACCUGUCACUCGCUCGGACAACACGUAAUAUGUAUUCGAGAAUUGUGUUGUUUUUAGUUGCUACGGUGCUUGUGAGUGUGGUCACGGCUAAUCCUAAGGAUAUGAGUGAGAGUCGGCAUAGACGCUGGCUGACAACCAACAACAAAUGCGACAACCUGGCCAAGUACGUCGGCGGCGACUGCGCGUACGAAUGCAGUACAUACUGCGGGUAUAACGACUGCAGCGGGGCAUGCUCUGGCGCGCUCUGUACAUGCACCGAUAAAUAUUAACCGAGAUAUUAUCUAGCUUUAGAAAUGCAUAAAUAAAAGAUGAUUAACAUGUAAAUAA